rnacentral:rRNA from 1 species
UACGGAGGGUGCAAGCGUUAUCCGGAUUCACUGGGUUUAAAGGGUGCGUAGGCGGACAGGUAAGUCCGUGGUGAAAUCCUGCAGCUUAACUGCAGAACUGCCAUGGAUACUAUCUAUCUUGAAUGUCGUGGAGGUUAGCGGAAUAUGUCAUGUAGCGGUGAAAUGCUUAGAUAUGACAUAGAACACCCAUUGCGAAGGCAGCUAACUAAGCGAUAAUUGACGCUGAUGCACGAAAGCGUGGGGAUCAAACAGG